CGGGGGCUGCUUCCAUGCAGUCGAACGGCAGCACGGGUGCUUGCCCUGGUGGCGAGUGGCAAAGGGGUGUAAUAUACCUCAGAACGUGUCCUGUAGUGGGGGAUACCCCGGCAAAAGCCAUUUUAAUACCGCACACUAUCUAUGGAUGAAAGCGGGAGAUCUUCGCCCCUCGCUCUAGAGGGGCGGCCGAUGGCAGAUUAUCUAUUUGGUGGGGUAAAGGCUCACCAGGGACAAUAUCCAUAUCUGGUCAGAGAAGAACACCCCCCACUCUGGCUCUGACACACCCCCCACACUCCUACGGGAGGCAACUGUGGAGAUUUUUGGACUGUGGGGGAAACCCUGAUCCCACUGUGCCGCGUGUGUGAAAAGCGUCUUCGUUUUGUAAAGCUUUUUUGUCCAGAAAAAAAUCCUGAUGGCUAAUAUCCGUCGGAGAUGACUGCCCCAGAAAAAUACACCCCGUCUAUCUACGUGCCCACCCCCGCGGAUAUACAUAGGGUGCACGCUUUAAUCAAAAUUACUGGGCGUAAAGCGUGCGCGCGCUGUGAUGUAAGACAUAUGUGAUAUCCGCGGUCUUACUGUGAGCUCUGCAUUGGAGACUGCAUCUCUAGAGUAUGGCAGAGGGGUGUAGAACUCCACGUGUAGCAGUGAUGUGCAUAGAGAUGUGGGGUACACCUAUCGCGAGCGCAGCCCCUGCCACUAUACUGACUCUCAUGCGCAACGCGUGAGAGCAACAGAUUAUAUACUGUGAUACUCACGCUCUACAUAUGUCAGUGGUUGUGGAUAUUCAUCUCAUAUCACGAUCUACGCGUGAUGUCAGCGUGUGGGUGUACUGUCACAUAUACUCUAGAUA
rnacentral:rRNA from 1 species